AGUCCCGGCUCUCUGUUUCCAUGGUGACAAGAGUUCCAAGAGCAGGAUGCUGCCAGCUUUUCUGUCCCCCUCCUCCCCCAAUCAGAGGGAAGCCUGCUCCUGCUCCAGGGACAGGGGACUGGGUCCUCCAAAGAUAAGCCAAUCCCAAGACCACCUGGAACCCCCAAGCCCACCAUGGGCCGAAUCCCAGGAGGCUGGCACAUGGAGAGGAUGGGACUGCCUGGGAGACAAGUAACCAAAUCGAUGGGGCAGCGUUGGAAGCUUGCCCCUGCGGGGUCACCACAUCCCCCAGGCCCCACUCAGGAACAGCGGGGCCUGCUUUGGUGCCUUGAUACUGGAGCUGGAUCAUCAAAUGAUAGUCCAGGUUAGAGAAUGGACUUGCCCAAAGUCUCAGGCUUGGGAAGACUGGUUUGUGCAUCCCUGUUUUGCACCUGAGGAAACUGUCUCAGAGGAGUGAAGUCAUAUACCCAAGGUCACACAGAGCACGGAAUCUCUGGGCUUUGGAGAGGGGAGAAGCCCAUGGCUCCUGAAUCCAAGAAGACCCAGGCACGACUCACCCCUGCCCCUCCCUUAGGGCCUGUCAGUUCUCUUACAGCACAGGCUGUAGCUGUGCUCAACAACCCCAUCAUUAGACCCUAUGGAAGGUCCAGAGAACUACAGGAAGAGGGACUAGAGGUGAGGCAUUGGCUCAAGAGCCCUGGAAGACUGGCCUCUUUAUGGCCCCUUCCCCAUUGUGCCUGCUUCCCCCGGAUUCAGCCCUGGGGGGAGCCGCCAGCCUUGCAGAAGUGGGAGGGAAGAGGACUGGAUCUUUAGCCUUCCUCAAGCAAACGUGUCAUGGGGUGACCACUGAACAUCCCUGGCAGUCCCUGGGGCUGUGAGUGCAAAUGGAUCCAGGCUCACACUUUUCAGAUGGGUACACUGAGGCCCAGAAUAGGCAGGCAGGACCCGCACAACUACUGUGUAAAGCAGAGGCGGGGUUACUCCUGGCAUCUAGGAGUCUGACCCUGCACAGGCUCUGCCCUCUAGAUCCUCUGCCCUAUCACUACAACCCUUGGUGGGAAAGUCUGGUCUUCAUCAAACAAACAAAACCCCAAUAUUUUCUAGAAGAUAUUGUCCACGUAAGCCAACCUGCCCAUGUAGGCCCCAGUCUUAUCAUACAACUGGCUAUGAGAUCAGCCACCAAGCACAUUUGACAGUUGCUACAACCACCGACUCUGCUCCCUGAUCCCAGAGGAAGUUUGUGUAGUUUUGGGCAGAAUGACCACUUAGGAAUCCUAACCAGUAAAUAAUCUAUCUCCCUUCCCCCUCUUCCCACCUCUCCCUCGUUCUCUCUCUGUUUCUCCUGGUCUCACAUCAAACCAGAAUGGAGAUGUGUGCUGAUUUAAGGAAAGUGUUAGAUGAAAAUGUACUUCCUUUUAUUAUAUAGGGAGAUAUUUUUAAGUGCAUAUAAAUAAACAUUUUUAAUUUG